UUAACGACACUUUCGUUAUCGUUGCGUAGCUUUUGUAUACCGUAGAAAAGCUGCGCAACAAUAACGAAACUGUCGUUAACUCCAAUAACGAGUUACAGAAUUGCACCACAGGAGUCUCGGUGCGACUACGGUGAUAUAAAGAAAGAGCUGGACCACGUGAUGCGUGGCGAGGACAUGCGUGAUCAGUGCUUGGAUUCGUCGACCUUUCCAAUAACAAAUAAGUUAUACAAACGAUUUUUGAAAUCUAAGAGUUUCUCAGAGUCUCUGAUGCCCUCUGGGAGCAUUGAAGACCGACGGCUCAUUCCUGAUAAGGACAAUUCAGCUAAUAUCCGUAAGGUCAAUGAAGGUCCUGCUGCUGCUGCUUCUUCUGCUUCUGUGCCUCCUGUCGACAAGGGAUGUAAUGAUUCCGUCAUGGAGUCGGAGGUUGGUGGUGUCGGUGCAGAAAAUCGGGGAAAAAUACAUUUUAUAUCGCUUUGCCUACAUUUGAUUUGGCAAAUGAAUUAGUUAACUCUAUUAAAAGAAAAAAGGAACCUCUUUUUAAAGGGGAAACUUGGGUAGCUUUUUUGCCAGAUUAUAAGGUAACAAAAAAGGUCAUCUUAAAAGGCAUCGAUGAUAUGGAUUUUGGUUAUAAUAAUAUAAUGGAGCUCCUGAGUCCUCCUCCAGGAUGGAGAGAUAAUUGGGCACAACCUCUGAAUGUUUAUGCUUUGAGAAAGAAGGUUGCUGACCCCACGGCUCAGGGAGGUGUCAAAUAUGUUGACACAAAUACCAUUGUGGCAGUCUUCCCUAAUAUAACAUUACCGAAUUAUUCUCUUUUAAUUGGUAAAAGAAUUUAUAUGAUUCCUUUUAUUCAGAGGGUCAUUAGGUGCCUUCAUUGUCAACGAUUUGGGCAUUCCAUCAGGGUUUGCAGAGGACGUCAGUCCCCGAUAACUUGCACGAGAUGCGCUGGUUCUGGACAUUCAGACGAUGAAUGUUCUUCUGAGAAAAUUAAAUGCAUCAAUUGUCUCCGAUUGAAACGGGAGGAUAAGGACUUGAUGCAUAAAGCAUCAGAUGUCAAAUGUCCCGUAUUCUUGGAACAAAAAUUAAAAAAAAGAUCAUGGCACCUUUUGUCUCUUCUCUGGGGAGGCGGACAUGUUCCUGAGAGAUAAGGGACCUAUCCCUUUAGGUUCCGGAAAACAAGUCUCAUCCUAGAGAGGAUUCUCUGUUGGCCACAAAGAAGACUCGCAACUUCAUCACUAGUGGCCCUAUUUCCAAGGCAAAAAAUAGGGUCUCUGCUAUAAAAAUUCAUAAGGAUCUUUUGUCUGGAGAAAACGAAUUUCUUCGUUUGUCUUCUCCAAAAAGAGCGGACACGCACGGGACUGUGGAUCCUGCUCUUAACAUCGCUGGUUCUACUGUGGUUAAGGAGUCCUCAGGAAAGCUUUCAUUGAAAAGGCAAGAGGGUCCUAAGAUCAUAAGUGACAUUCUUAUCGAUAAUUAUAGAAAUAUUAAAAAGGUUUCGCUGCCCGAAUUGGGCCCGGAGGGUCCUGGGGCUGGGUUCUGCUCGUUCCACCCCUUUGGUUACUUUCGGUGCGGGGGUUGGGUUGAUGGAUCCUCCCCCCUUGGUGCUUUCGGUUGUUCCUGAAGCUAUGGCUGCGCCGCGUACGAUGGCGGAACUGGACGGCUGGUUAAAGAAUAUGUCAUUUGAAAAAGCCACAAGUUUACUUGCCGAUUAUGCAAAUGAUACGGACAACCCUUUCUACUUGUUGGUUAGGGGUUUUCUCGUUAAAAAGAGGCAUUCUCAGGAAUCAACUGAGCCGCUUACUUCCUCUGAUAGUGUUUUUGUCAGUUUUGAUACUAAGUGUAUUUCACAUUCCAAACUAACAGAUUUUAUUGUAUUUCUUUGUAAUCAGGAAAAGUAAUCUCCACAUAUCACAAUGGAAUGUGAAUUCUGUCAGAUCAAGAUACGCGGACAUUUGUUAUGUCCUUGACAAUUUAAAGAUGGACAUUAUGUGCUUAAUUGAAAUAAAGAUCUCUGACGAUGUUCCAUGCAGAUUCAAUAAUUAUAAAUUCAUAAGAAAGGGCCGCUCUAAUCAUGGUGGUGGUCUUGGAUUCUUGAUUCAGAACAACAUUAACUUUAAACAUACAUCCUUCCCCGACGUGGAAAAAAUGUGUAAGGACCAUGGGGUUGAGAUCCAUUCUGUUUGCAUUAACAGCCUUAAAGGGAAAUCGCGCAGCGAAAUCAAAGAGCGCU